rnacentral:misc_RNA from 1 species
GAAAUUGAAGUCAUCUAACAAUGAUGUCUUAGCUGAAUAACUCUUAAAAAUUUUCAGCAUUUCCAAACCUUGCUCAAGUCCUAUCUGCAAAUUAUUAUAACAAAACAUGUCAGUCCAACCUUUAAUCUAUUGAACAUGAUCAGAUGCUACUAGGCACAAAUAUCCGUUCUAGCUGCCUCUUCUGCUAGACAUAUUGGAUCAAAAUUUCAAAACUCCACUUGUAUAGUAUAGCCAUUGAAAAUAACAGAAAAAUGACAAUAUACUCGGCUAAGGUGAGUUUUUAAUGCAAGGGAACCAUCCACACAGGCCACAGCAUAUUGCAGAAGACUUCCGCAAAUAGAAGCUGUUGUGUAAGAG